rnacentral:rRNA from 1 species
UACGUAGGGGGCAAGCGUUGUCCGGAUUUAUUGGGCGUAAAGAGCUCGUAGGUGGUUCGGUAAGUCGGCUGUGAAAGUCCAGGGCUCAACCCUGGGAUGCCGGUGGAUACUGCUGGACUAGAGUGCGGAAGAGGCGAGUGGAAUUCCUGGUGUAGCGGUGAAAUGCGCAGAUAUCAGGAGGAACACCGGUGGCGAAGGCGGCAUCCUGGACCGAAAUUGACGCUGAGGCGCGAAAGCCAGGGGAGCAAACGGG